GUCUGCAUGGAGCCGACCUUGAAAUACCACCCUUUAAUGUUUGAUGUUCUAACGUGGACCCGUAAUCCGGGUUGCGGACAGUGUCUGGUGGGUAGUUUGACUGGGGCGGUCUCCUCCUAAAGAGUAACGGAGGAGCACGAAGGUUGGCUAAUCCUGGUCGGACAUCAGGAGGUUAGUGCAAUGGCAUAAGCCAGCUUGACUGCGAGCGUGACGGCGCGAGCAGGUGCGAAAGCAGGUCAUAGUGAUCCGGUGGUUCUGAAUGGAAGGGCCAUCGCUCAACGGAUAAAAGGUACUCCGGGGAUAACAGGCUGAUACCGCCCAAGAGUUCAUAUCGACGGCGGUGUUUGGCACCUCGAUGUCGGCUCAUCACAUCCUGGGGCUGAAGUAGGUCCCAAGGGUAUGGCUGUUCGCCAUUUAAAGUGGUACGCGAGCUGGGUUUAGAACGUCGUGAGACAGU
rnacentral:rRNA from 1 species